UACGAAGGGGGCUAGCGUUGCUCGGAAUCACUGGGCGUAAAGGGUGCGUAGGCGGGUCUUUAAGUCAGGGGUGAAAUCCUGGAGCUCAACUCCAGAACUGCUUUUGAUACUGAGGAUCUUGAGUAUGGGAGAGGUGAGUGGAACUGCGAGUGUAGAGGUGAAAUUCGUAGAUAUUCGCAAGAACACCAGUGGCGAAGGCGGCUCACUGGCCCAUUACUGACGCUGAGGCACGAAAGCGUGGGGAGCAAACAGG
rnacentral:rRNA from 1 species